UUUGAUGGAGCCGAGCCACAGAGGUUCGUUGUCCGCCCGGUCCUGUCCGUACGUCGCCAGGAGUGCCUGUGCCUC
rnacentral:antisense_RNA from 1 species